rnacentral:misc_RNA from 1 species
UGGGCUUGACAUGCAGGGCAAAGCCGGUGAAAGCCGGCGCUCUACGGAGCCUGCACAGGUGGUGCAUGGCUGUCGUCAGCUCGUGCCGUGAGGUGUUGCCUUAAGUGGCGCAACGAGCGCAACCCUUGUCCUUAGUUGCCAGCGGGUAAAGCCGGGAACUCUAGGGAGACUGCCGGUGCCAAACCGGAGGAAGGUGGGGAUGACGUUUACCGACAGCU